AUGGCCACCACGCGCCACACCGUCCCCUUCGGCUCCGCCCUGAUCAACACGACGGUCACCAGCGACACCGGCGCCGCCGACGAGUGGGUCCGUCGCGUGCGCGCCGCCAACGACCCUGCCGGCCGCGGCCUCAUCGUCGGCCUCGACUGCGAGUGGAAGCCCAACUACAGCUCGUGGACGACCUCCAAGGUCGCCAUUCUCCAGCUCUGCGUCGGCACCAGCUGCCUCGUCCUCCAGAUGUUCUACGCCAACCGCGUGCCGGCGGCCAUCCGGAGCCUCCUCGGCGACCCCGCGGUGCGGUGCGUCGGCAUCGGCGUCGGCGAGGACGCCGCGAAGCUGGCCGACGACUACGGCCUCGUGUGCGCCUCGCCGGUGGACCUGGAGGGCCGCUGCAACGAGUACCUCGGCAUCGGCGGCCUGGGCAGGAGGAGGCUGGGGCUCAAGGGCUACGCCAGGGAGGUGCUGGGCCUGACCAUGGAGAAGCCGCGGCACGUGACCAUGAUCAACUGGGAGAGGCGCCAGCUUGACGUCGCGCAGGUCCAGUACGCCUGCAUUGACGCCUACGUCUCCUACAAGCUGGGCGAGCGUCUCCUGGACAACUGA
rnacentral:rRNA from 1 species